UUUCCGUAGGUGAACCUGCGGAAGGAUCAUUACCGAGUAACUGGGUCGGCGUAUGCCUCCCGUUCUCCCACCCUAUGUUUACUUACUCCUGUUGCCUCGGCGGGCCUGCGGGCCCCACCCGCUGCUGGCCUCGGCUAGUUAGCGCCCGCCAGAGGGACCCAUUAAACUCUAUUUUAACGUGUCGUCUGAGUAAAACUUUAAUAAGUUAAAACUUUCAACAACGGAUCUCUUGGUUCUG
rnacentral:misc_RNA from 1 species